rnacentral:misc_RNA from 1 species
CUUGAAGGAUUCUUGAAGUUUGAGGUUUGUUCAUAAAGUUAUCUUUUUGAAUGUCAAACUUUUCAGGCUGAAUUUGCUAGGGAAAGAGAAGUCUGUCAAUAUGUUAUCUAGACCAAUCGUGAUGCAAACAUGAUGCAUUUUGAUUGCUGAUUAAUACUGAACAAUGAACUAUCUCAUGUGAUGAGGAAUUAUUAUUAAUUUUCCUUACAAUUUAUGAGUUUGUGGUAAUCAUCAAUGCAUGAAAUUGUGGCUAUUCUGUUAAGUUCUAUUAAGAUUUUUUGGUGGGACCUUUGAGGAAUUGGGACCGUUUUAAUGAAUAUACUGAAUAACAAGGGUGAGUGCUCCUUUGCUCAUUGUCUCAUCUUACAUGGUGUGAGCUGUGAGGAUAAGUUUUCGCUGUCUGCAGACUUGUGACUGAAAUCGGCUGCCAGGUGGUGCAUGCAUGUGGCCUCAGCAUUUUUGACAGUGAUGAUCUUAAUGCUGAGUUGUCAUUCUAGUCUGGAGCAAUUCUAAUUCUCCCGAGCAACAAUAAGGGAGGACAACAUCCUCGCUUAAACCAUCUAAAUAUUGUAAAGAGUCUUGUCUUGCAAUAGGUUACCAAAAGCUGAUUGUGUUUGAUAAAUAAUACAUGCAUUUUUCUCUCUCACAUCAUGACUUGCUAAAUUAGAAGCUAAUCAUUGAUGAAUGCUAUUCAUAUAUGCUUGCAUGUCUAUUUGUGGGGUUGCCAAAUUACUGAGAUUCAUUUAGCUUUGGACAGUAUCUUUGUUGAUAUUUG